AACUCGCUAGCUCAAUGGCUAGAGCGUGAGACUUUUACGGCAACAUAUCGCCAUUUCAAGGUUGCGGGUUCGACCCCCGCGUGAGGCU